AUGGAAAUAUAGUCGUUAUUUUAUUUUUUUAAUCUUAAUUUACUUUAAAUACAUAAAAACAUGUUAAAAAUAUAUUUAAAAAUAUACUAAAUGCAUUUACAGCCUAUUAUUAUCGUGAAAAGCAUAACUAUUAGUGUUUCCAAUGUGACUCAUUAUAGGUAAUUUAGAAAUAAAUUACUGGCAACCCCAAAAAAAUACAUUGACUUUUUCAUUGUUUUCUUUCUCCGAUUGCCGGGAAAAAAUUCGAUGGUGAUAAAUACGAUACGAAAGAUCUUAAAUUAUCCGUGAUAGCUACUUGCUUACAAAGGUUUUCAUUACACAAGUUUUCCUAUAAGAUGCAAACAUAACCUUAAAACAUCAGCCAGCAAGUUAUAUGAAACACAACACCUGCAUCAACAAGUAUGAAAGGAUCCAGUCGCAUUCCCGUUCAGACUAUCUAAGUUACCUAAACAGAAGAACUAAAUUGAAACCCAGGAAGGAUUAUAAAAUCUUGUCUUCUCGAAGCGACCUCUUCCAAGACUCGUCAGUGCAUAUAAUAAACAAGAUUAUUAUAUUUCAUACAAAAGAACUUUGAUAGAUACAUGUGACUAUGUUAUAAAAUGAAAUAAAGCUUCUCUAAAU